AUUGAACGCUGGCGGCAGGCUUAACACAUGCAAGUCGAGCGAGCGGCGGACGGGUGAGUAAUGGCUGGGAACCUGCCUGCUGGAGGGGGAUAACUACGGGAAACGGUAGCUAAUACCGCCUACCAUAAGAUGGGCCCAAGUGGGAUUAGCUAGUUGGUGGGGUAAUGGCUCACCAAGGCGACGAGCCCUAGCUGGUCUGAGAGGAUGACCAGCCACACUGGAACUGAGACACGGCCCAGACUCCUACGGGAGGCAGCAGUGGGGAAGAUUGCACAAUGGGCGCAAGCCUGAUGCAGCCAUGCCGCGUGUGUGAAGAAGGCCUUCGGGUUGUAAAGCACUUUCGGUGAGGAGGCGUUAAUCGCAGAAGAAGCACCGGCUAACUCCGUGCCAGCAGCCGCGGUAAUAC
rnacentral:rRNA from 1 species